CCAGAUAAAGACACCACAAAAAAGAACUACAAGCCAACAACUCUGAUGAACAUAGAUGCAAGAAAAGCAUUUU